ensembl:lncRNA
UAUAAAAUAAAUUACCUUUGCCAUAGGCUGCUGGGUUUAUUAGCCCCUUUCUAGCUCUUCACAAUGUAAAGGACAGGCUGACCUAGAGUGAUCUCCUCCUUCCAGUGGGCUCUCUCUCCUCUCACUAACGGGAGCUCUGCUAUUUGUGCAUUUAACAGCUUAACCCUUUGAGUUACUCCAGGGCUCUGUAUUCUUUCAGGGGUAUUUUUUUUUAGAGGGACAGCGUUUAGCUUUGGGGUGGCAUUUUACAUUUUAAAGCAGCUGAUUUAUAUUAUCCAAAUCGUAUAUAUAUAAAUAUAUAUAUAUUUUUUUUUUUUUUUUUAAAUGAACAGAGAUGAAAACCAAGCCCAGGAAAUAAAAAUGGAAGAAACAACACACAAGUUCAAUAGCUUCAGAGGUCAAGAAUUUAUUUGGAUAAGGUCUGCAACAGUGAGGUCUUGCUGGGUGGGGUGGGGGGAGUGCACUCAUUUUAAGGAGCAAAUGUUAAUAAACAUACAGAAGCAUCCCCCUGACUACAUCGAGAUCAAUUAGUGAAAUAGGACCCAUUGCUCUUUUCCUUUAAAUGCCUGACAAAACCAGUUAUUAAAGGUGGGAUCUAAGUCUUCUAGGGAGGGAAGCAAAUGCUCGGCUAUAAUGAGCAAAAGAGCAGAGGUCAUUAUUUCGAUGGGGUGUUUGCUAUUUACUCCCAGUCAUGCACUUGACAUAUUCUUUCUUAUUAGCAAGGCUGGAGCAGCACCGGGGAGCGUGCAAAUAAUUUCCCCCCAAAUCUGGACUCCAGGACAUUCCUCCUGCACACAGAUGAACGCCCCCAUGAGCAAAUUGCCUCUCCAGCCUGUCCAGAGUCACCUAGACUGCUGGCAAAUGGUUUUUUCAGAGCAAGCUUGGAGACGGGGACAGAGUUCUCUGGCGACGGUGCAACUGAGUGCAAUCACCCUAAAGAGGAGCAUUUAGAAGCUAUAAAACCUAAAUGCCCUGCCAUGCAUCAUUACAUCGCACAGUUAUUCAAAUUUAGUAAAUUAAAUUAAAUAAUCUCAAAUAACUUGAUUUCGGGGCUUUAAAAUUUCAUCUCUACGGUGCCCAGUACUCCAUUUCCUUUAUUAUUAUUGUUCAUCCAGUAGAAUUUAUGUUUUUUAUGAAUCGCAGUCCCUGCCCGCCUCGCAGGGGCGAAGCGGCUGCGGUGGCUUGGCGCGCCACCUACCGGCCGAUCCGGGCACAGCGGGCAGCCAGUGGGGCCGCAGCGCACAUGUCACCGCGGAAAUCACAGCCCGGGCGAUGCUCUCAGCUCGUGUGCUAACUGCUCCCCUGGGCUUCGUCGCUGUGGGUCAACUUGAAGUCGCGGGGACAGCGCAGGGAGAUUUGCUGUGCAGGCUGGAGGAGGGUUUUCCGCUCCGGCUGCAAAGCCAGCCAACACCUUUGGUCUGGAGUGUUCUGCGGCUGCCUUCCUGGCUAUUAGAGGCCAGAUGAUCUAAUCAAACUGCUGUUUGCCCGGCAGAUCCGGGAGGCCAUCCCUUCAUUACCAAAAGCCAUUCUCUGCUCAUGCAUGUUACCGAUUGAAGAGGACACUGAUGUUCAGAGACAGGGCGGCUGGUGCCAAAGGCAUGAUGCCCCAGAUAAAGACAAUGCUGCGUUUUGCCAUGUGUUGCAUUUUAAAGAGCAUUUUGUUUGCAGGAAAAUCCCCCCCCCCUCCCGCCCCCCCUCCAAGACUCCUGAAUUCUGGGGAGGCAGGGGCCACGGCCAGGCCGGCCUUGUUUCAGAGGCUGCUUUAAAUGUACUUUCGAUUUAAUAGUUUCAUAAAUAAACCACCGUGAAAUGAUGGCUGUGUGCGUUUU